GGGGAACAAGAGUAGAAACAGGAUGGCACUACUUAAUGUGAUUGUGAUUGGGUAACACAACAUUGGGCUUUAUCAACUUUAUUAGAGAUCGAUGGCAAAGCUAACACAUACAUCGAGGACCACUAUUGCAGCGCCAAUUGUGGUGGCAGUCGCAGCAGGGAGUUUAAUGACAACACAUUCUUGUUAAGAUUCACCAUCAAGGUCAGUGAUUGAGAGAGUGAGAUGAAGCAAUGGAAGUCACUUGGUAAUGGAGAGACGACGAUGCAGGACGAAAUCGAGAGGGAGAUGAAGCGAGAAUGAGAGAGAGAAAUUGAAAAGAGGGAGCUUUGAUGGCAGCGGCAGCUCAAGAU
rnacentral:lncRNA from 1 species